AACGGUCUAUACCUGCGGUACCUGCGGAGGGAUCAUUACCGAGUGAGGGCCCUCUGGGUCCAACCUCCCACCCGUGUCUCUUGUACCUUGUUGCUUCGGCGGGCCUGCCUCACGGCUGCUAGGGGGCAUCUGCUCCUAAGCCCGCGCCCGCCGAAGACACCUAUGAACUCUGUCUGAAGAUUGUAGUCUGAGUGAAAUGAGAAAUUAUUUAAAACUUUCAACAAUGGAUCUCUAGAUCGG
rnacentral:misc_RNA from 1 species